rnacentral:rRNA from 1 species
GAUGAACGCUAGCGGGAGGCUUAACACAUGCAAGCCGAGCGGUAGAGUUUCUUCGGAAACUUGAGAGCGGCGCACGGGUGCGUAACACGUGUGCAACCUACCUUUAUCUGGGGGAUAGCCUUUCGAAAGGAAGAUUAAUACCCCAUAAUAUAAUGAUUGGCAUCAAUUAUUAUUGAAAACUCCGGUGGAUAGAGAUGGGCACGCGCAAGAUUAGUUAGUUGGUGAGGUAACGGCUCACUAAGUAAAUGAUCUUUAGGGGUCCUGAGAGGGAGAUCCCCCACACUGGUACUGAGACACGGGCCAGACUCCUACGGGAGGCAGCAGUGAGGAAUAUUGGACAAUGGGUGAGAGCCUGAUCCAGCCAUCCCGCGUGAAGGAUGACGGUCCUAUGGAUUGUAAACUUCUUUUGUACAGGGAUAAACCUACCCUCGUGAGGGUAGCUGAAGGUACUGUACGAAUAAGCACCGGCUAACUCCGUG